rnacentral:rRNA from 1 species
AACGAACGCUGGCGGCAGGCCUAACACAUGCAAGUCGAGCGCGCCCUUCGGGGUGAGCGGCGGACGGGGGAGUAACGCGUGGGAACGUGCCCUUUUCUACGGAAUAGCCUCGGGAAACUGAGAGUAAUACCGUAUACGCCCUUUGGGGGAAAGAUUUAUCGGAAAAGGAUCGGCCCGCGUUGGAUUAGGUAGUUGGUGGGGUAAUGGCCUACCAAGCCGACGAUCCAUAGCUGGUUUGAGAGGAUGAUCAGCCACACUGGGACUGAGACACGGCCCAGACUCCUACGGGAGGCAGCAGUGGGGAAUCUUAGACAAUGGGGGCAACCCUGAUCGAGCCAUGCCGCGUGAGUGAUGAAGGCCUUAGGGUUGUAAAGCUCUUUCAGCUGGGAAGAUAAUGACGGUACCAGCAGAAGAAGCCCCGGCUAACUCCGUG